rnacentral:tRNA from 1 species
GGGGCUAUAGCUCAGUGGUGGAGCAUGUGCUUAGCAUGCUCGAGGUCCUGGGUUCAAUCUCCAGUACCUCUG